rnacentral:rRNA from 1 species
AUGAUCAUUGGAGACUUCAAUGAAAUUUUAAUUGCAAAUGAGAAGGAAGGUGGGAACACCAGGCCGCUACACUUCAUGCAAAAUUUCAGAGAUUGCAUUGAGGAUUGCGGAUUACAGGAAGUCAUGUUUAUUGGAGAUCCCUUUACAUGGAGUAGGGGUACGACUAGGGAGCGUCUUGACAGAGCUUUAUGCAACGGCAAGUGGUCUGAAAAAUUCCCCUACGCGGCUGUAGUACAUGAGCAUCAUAUCCAUUCAGAUCAUAGACUGCUUGUG